rnacentral:lncRNA from 1 species
UUGUAAUUAGCUCUUUAUGGCUUUAUACUUCUUGGCAUAAUCAGGAAACUGGAUCUAUGAUCUUUUUUUAAAAAUAUUUUUAUUACCCCGUAGUAGGGGUAAAUGGGAAAGGAAUAAAUGUCCUUUAAAGUAAUUUUCAAAAAAUAUUUUUACUUCUAAUCGAAAGCACUAACGCCAUUUUUCCAAAAUAAAAAAAAAACAUAGCAUACAGUUGAAUUUUGAAUUAAAAAAAAUACUUUUGACCAAGAAAAAAAUUUGGCGAAACAUGCUUUAAGUAAGCUGUCCCCAAAAUCAAUGCUAAAUGAUUUGUGAUGACGAGGAGAUUGCUCCCACCACCUCAAACGACAACUAAAACAGUCCAAUCUUCUCGAAAAAAACAAAUUCUUCAGAGUCAACCGUGCUAGGUGCUCGACAAAAUACCAAAGUCAGUUCCCAUGCUCAGUCGGGCGAGCAAAUCAUUUAACAAGCUUCCCCUGAUCCUAAGGUAGCUAAUCGUAGUCCAAAUUAACAAGGAGCAGUGUUGAGUUGUCCCACAUCGGAGGGAUUUGACGUUCUUGAUCUCCUUAUAUGCCUUGGGCAAUUCUUACCUCAUAAACUAGCUUUUGGGAUUGAAUUAGGCCCAAGGUCUAUUCUUAUCAAGCAGUUCAAAAAUCUGAUCAUCAAGUUUUUCCUUCUUCACCAGAACUUCAGGUGGCCGACAAUAGUAGCCAACCCUCCCAAGUAUUACACACACCAAUUUGAAGAAAAAUCAAAAGCUCUCAAUUAAAAAUGCAACACCUUCAGCCUAACCUAUUCUGCAACUCCCCUCAACGGCUACUACUGUUUCUCACCUAAAUAGUUCAAAUCCUAAAGCCAAAACUCAGACUAACCAUUCCUCCCCCUCCAAUAAUUACACAAUUGUUUGCUACUAGGUGAGGGCUAGGCAUGAUGCAGAGAUUUCUCCAACUGAGUUCACCACACCUAUUAUCACAACCAAACAGGGAAAAACACGCACACACAUACAUAGAUCUAUAGAAAAAUUAAGAAAAAGUUGUAAAAGAAAUUCCACCACCAUUAUCUUGCCAGACGUUACUUCGGCGUUUAUUUUCGUAGGUAGCAGCGUAAAAAAGUGUACAUAAUAGAAAAAACACAAAGGCAAAAAGAUACGAGAAUUAUUCUGCUUCGUUUUUGUUCUCCGAUGUCUUAUCUGAGAGAGAU